CUGGAUGGAGAGGAAUGGUCACCUCCGUUGGUGUGGCCAGCCUUUCUCCUCACAGUGAAGAAGAAAUAUAAAGUCACAGUAAACAACAGGACAGCUUGGAGGGAUGCGGAUGCUGACACAAAGGAGCGAGAAAUGGGACCACAAUAAACACAGACGCCACGAGUAGAGGACACAGGCAGAGUUCAUCCUGCAUUUCCCACAACUCUUUUGUUUUUCCCUCCUUGCACAUCACUGAUAGAAUGGACGGGGAAAUGAGAAAGAACAUCCCAGGGGAAGACUGAUGUGAUCUGGGGCCUGAAGGAAGACGCAGGACUGGCGACAGUGAAAGGCUGUGUUGAAAAUAUCAACCAAAAAGACACAGAGAUGCAAAUGUGCUCAGUUUUACACAGAAGCAGCUAGCCAUCCUGGAAUCCAAGUGUAUGUAGGCAGCCAGCGGGAAUGACACCAGGUAGAAAUCAGCUCAGUUACCAGGAGGUUGAAAUGGAAGAGGAAACGCUCUUGGCAGCCAGACUCAGAAGCAGGAAGUGCUCCUGGGGAGAGGGACCAAGUCACGUUUUGUUGUGCAAUUUGCUGGCUAUGUGGAACCAUUGGGCUAAUUUGGAGAAUGACACCUUGUCAUUCUUGCCUAACUUGCUGUAU